rnacentral:rRNA from 1 species
CUACGGGAUGCUCCAGUGGGGAAUAUUGCACAAUGGGCGCAAGCCUGAUGCAGCAACGCCGCGUGAGGGAUGAAGGCCUUCGGGUUGUAAACCUCUUUUAGCAGGGAAGAAGCGAAAGUGACGGUACCUGCAGAAAAAGCACCGGCUAACUACGUGCCAGCAGCCGCGGUAAUACGUAGGGUGCAAGCGUUGUCCGGAAUUAUUGGGCGCAAAGAGCUCGUAGGCGGUUUGCCACGUCUGCUGUGAAAAUCCAAGGCUCAACCUUGGACUUGCAGUGGGUACGGGCAGGCUAGAGUGCGGUAGGGGAGAUGGGAAUUCCUGGUGUAGCGGUGGAAUGCGCAGAUAUCAGGAGGAACACCAAUGGCGAAGGCACAUCUCUGGGCCGUAACUGACGCUGAGGAGCGAAAGCGUGGGGAGCGAACAGGAUUAGAUACCCUAGUAGUC